UACGUAGGGUGCAAGCGUUAUCCGGAUUUACUGGGCGUAAAGCGUCCGUCGGCGGUUUUACAAGUCUCUUGUUUAAGACUUCGGCUUAACUGAAGGAAAGCAAGAGAAACUGUAUAACUUGAAUCUGUUAGAGGAAGUUGGAAUUCUCGGUGGAGGGGUGAAAUCCGUAGAUAUCGAGAGGAACGCCAAUUGCGAAGGCAAGCUUCUAUGACAGUAUUGACGCUCAGGGACGAAAGCUAGGGUAGCAAAAGGG
rnacentral:rRNA from 1 species